rnacentral:rRNA from 1 species
UACGAAGGGGGCUAGCGUUGUUCGGAAUUACUGGGCGUAAAGGGCGCGCAGGCGGUCGCUCAAGUCAGGCGUGAAAGCCCCGGGCUCAACCUGGGAAUAGCGCUUGAGACUGAGCGACUUGAGUUCGGGAGAGGAGAGCGGAAUUCCCAGUGUAGAGGUGAAAUUCGUAGAUAUUGGAAGAACACCGGUGGCGAAGGCGGCUCUCUGGACCGACACUGACGCUGAGGCGCGAAAAGCGUGGGGGAGCAAACAGG